AGCGAACGCUGGCGGCAGGCCUAACACAUGCAAGUCGAACGAACUCUUCGGAGUUAGUGGCGGACGGGUGAGUAACACGUGGGAACGUGCCUUUUGGUUCGGAAUAACUCAGGGAAACUUGUGCUAAUACCGAAUGUGCCCUUCGGGGGAAAGAUUUAUCGCCAUUAGAGCGGCCCGCGUCUGAUUAGCUAGUUGGUGAGGUAACGGCUCACCAAGGCGACGAUCAGUAGCUGGUCUGAGAGGAUGACCAGCCACACUGGGACUGAGACACGGCCUAGACUCCUACGGGAGGCAGCAGUGGGGAAUCUUGCGCAAUGGGCGAAAGCCUGACGCAGCCAUGCCCCGUGAAUGAUGAAGGUCUUAGGAUUGUAAAAUUCUUUCACCGGGGACGAUAAUGACGGUACACGGAGAAGAAGCCCCGGCUAACUUCGUG
rnacentral:rRNA from 1 species